rnacentral:tRNA from 1 species
UAAAAGAUAAGCUAAUUAAGCUAUUGGGUUCAUACCCCACUUAUGAAGAUUAGACUCUUCUCUUUUAA